rnacentral:rRNA from 1 species
CAGUCGAACGGCAGCACGGACUUCGGUCUGGUGGCGAGUGGCGAACGGGUGAGUAAUAUAUCGGAACGUAUCCAAUAAUGGGGGAUAACUAAUCGAAAGGUUGGCUAAUACCGCAUACGCCCUACGGGGGAAAGCUAGGGACCUUCGGGCCUGGCGUUAAUGGAGCGGCUGAUAUCUGAUUAGCUAGUAGGUGAGGUAAAGGCUCACCUAGGCGACGAUCAGUAGCUGGUCUGAGAGGACGACCAGCCACACUGGAACUGAGACACGGUCCAGACUCCUACGGGAGGCAGCAGUGGGGAAUUUUGGACAAUGGGCGAAAGCCUGAUCCAGCCAUUCCGCGUGAGUGAAGAAGGCCUUCGGGUUGUAAAGCUCUUUCGCAAGGGAAGAAAACUUAGGCGCUAAUAUCGCUUGAGGUUGACGGUACCUUGAUAAGAAGCACCGGCUAACUACGUGCCAGCAGCCGCGGUAAUACGUAGGGUGCGAGCGUUAAUCGGAAUUACUGGGCGUAAAGCGUGCGCAGGCGGUUUUGUAAGUCAGAUGUGAAAUCCCCGAGCUCAACUUGGGAACUGCGUUUGAAACUAUAAGACUAGAAUAUGUCAGAGGGGGGUAGAAUUCCACGUGUAGCAGUGAAAUGCGUAGAGAUGUGGAGGAAUACCAAUGGCGAAGGCAGCCCCCUGGGAUAAUAUUGACGCUCAUGCACGAAAGCGUGGGGAGCAAACAGGAUUAGAUACCCUGGUAGUCCACGCCCUAAACGAUGUCUACUAGUUGUUGGGUGGAGUAAAAUCCAUGAGU